AUUGAACGCUAACGGCAUGCUUAACACAUGCAAGUCGAACGGCAGCACAGUUGUAACAAUACAAUGGGUGGCGAGUGGCGGACGGGUGAGUAAUACAUAGGAAUCUGCCUUGUAGUGGGGGAUAACCCGGGGAAACUCGGGCUAAUACCGCAUAAUCUUUACGAAGCAAAGUGGGGGACCGUAAGGCCUUACGCUAUAAGAUGAGCCUAUGUCGGAUUAGCUAGUUGGUGGGGUAAAGGCCCACCAAGGCAACGAUCCGUAGCUGGUCUGAGAGGAUGAUCAGCCACACUGGAACUGAGACACGGUCCAGACUCCUACGGGAGGCAGCAGUGGGGAAUAUUGGACAAUGGGCGCAAGCCUGAUCCAGCAAUGCCGCGUGAGUGAAGAAGGCCUUCGGGUUGUAAAGCUCUUUUGUCAGGGAAGAAAAGGUCGUGGCUAAUAUCCACGACUGCUGACGGUACCUGAAGAAUAAGCACCGGCUAACUACGUGCCAGCAGCCGCGGUAACAC
rnacentral:rRNA from 1 species